CUAUGCACGGAUUUUGGGAAAAGUCGAACCACAAGGAUCUAUUGAAAAUGCGUAUUAUGUAUUUCAUUUUCUUAAUACAUAAAAAAGGCAUGAGAGCUUAAAAAGGGGCAAUUAAAAAAAGGUAUCCCGGUGCACCGUGCACAAGCUCCCACUAUGCACGGGGUUCAGGGAAAGGCCGAACCACAAGGAUCUAUUGAAAAUGCGUAUUAUGUAUUUCAUUUUCUUAAUACAUAAAAAAGGCAUGAGAGCUUAAAAAGGGGCAAUUAAAAAAAGGUAUCCCGGUGCACCGUGCACAAGCUCCCACUAUGCACGGGGUUCAGGGAAAGGCCGAACCACAAGGAUCUAUUGAAAAUGCGUAUUAUGUAUUUCAUUUUCUUAAUACAUAAAAAAGGCAUGAGAGCUUAAAAAGGGGCAAUUAAAAAAAGGUAUCCCGGUGCACCGUGCACAAGCUCCCACUAUGCACGGGGUUCAGGGUAAGGCCGGACCACAAGGAUCUAUUGAAAAUGCAAUCAAUACAUAAAAAAUCAAUCUCCAACUUCUGACCAAGAGCUGGAGAUCAACUGGAGCUGGUAUAACUGAGAGGUUGAUGCUUCAGGACAGUAAACAGAAAACAAAUUUAUCA
rnacentral:lncRNA from 1 species